rnacentral:rRNA from 1 species
UUUGUAGAAUGAACCGGCGAGUUACGAUUUGUUGCAAGGUUAAGCGGAAAAAGCGGAGCCGUAGCGAAAGCGAGUCUGAAUAGGGCGCAUAAGUAACAGGUCGUAGACCCGAAACCAGGUGAUCUACCCAUGUCCAGGAUGAAGGUAAGGUAAUACUUACUGGAGGUCCGAACCCACGCACGUUGAAAAGUGCGGGGAUGAGGUGUGGGUAGCGGAGAAAUUCCAAUCGAACUUGGAGAUAGCUGGUUCUCUCCGAAAUAGCUUUAGGGCUAGCCUCGAGGUAAAGAGUCAUGGAGGUAGAGCACUGUUUGGACUAGGGGCCCUUCUCGGGUUACCGAAUUCAGAUAAACUCCGAAUGCCAUGUACUUAUACUCGGGAGUCAGACUGCGAGUGAUAAGAUCCGUAGUCGAAAGGGAAACAGCCCAGACCACCAGUUAAGGUCCCCAAAUAUAUGUUAAGUGGAAAAGGAUGUGGGGUUGCUUAGACAACCAGGAUGUUGGCUUAGAAGCAGCCACCAUUGAAAGAGUGCGUAAUAGCUCACUGGUCGAGUGACCCCGCGCCGAAAAUGUACCGGGGCUAAACAUAUUACCGAAACUGUGGAUGAACCUCUUUAGAGGUUCGUGGUAGGAGAGCGUUCUAAGGGCGGUGAAGUCAGACCGGAAGGACUGGUGGAGCGCUUAGAAGUGAGAAUGCCGGUAUGAGUAGCGAAAGAAGGGUGAGAAUCCCUUCCACCGAAUAUCUAAGGUUUCCUGAGGAAGGCUCGUCCGCUCAGGGU